rnacentral:misc_RNA from 1 species
GAUGAAGAACGUAGCGAAAUGCGAUAAUUAAUGUGAAUUGCAGAAUUCCGUGAAUCAUCGAGUCUUUGAACGCACAUUGCGCCUCAUGGCAUUCCGUGAGGCAUGCCCAUCUCAGCGUUAGAGAAUAUUCUCAAAUUUUAGUUUUGUGCUAAAAUUUGGAUCAUGUCAAGGAAGCUAUUACUAUUAUUGUGAUCGCUCUUUGGAAAUUGAUAGGUCUUUGAGUUGCUACUCAUAGAACGUGAUGAAUCUUUCUUCGUUCUAUUGUAAUUCACUCUGGUAGUCCUAAAAGUUGUAUGCCUGUGGCAUAUCUUGUAAUUUGACCUGAGAUUGGGUAGGGAUACCCGCUGAACUUAAGCAUAUCAAUAAGCGGAGGA